AAGUAAGUGASCAAGAACUAAAAAGGAUUCCCUCAGUAAUGGCGAAUGAACAGGGAUAGGCUCAAUGUGGAAUCCAGGGCCCUCGGUCCUGAAUUGUAAUCUCUAGAUGUAUUGCCAAGGAAGACUCAGAUUUGAACCUCUUGGAAAAGAGUGCCAACAAGGGUGAGAGUCCCAUUGUCAAUCUGUAGACCUUUAUGAACGGCACAUCUUCGAAGAGUCACGUUCCUCGGAACUGGAGCGCCAGCAGGGUGGCAAAUGUCAUCUGAAGCUAAACAUAGUCUUGAGACCGAUAGGGCACAAGUACCGUGAGGGAAAGGUGAAAAGGACUUUGAAAAGAGAGUUAAAAGUGUUUGAAAUUGCUGAUGGCGAAGCGAACGGAGCCAGUAGCGUUUGGGGGGAUUGUUCCGUGCUCACCAAAAGGGCGUAGUACCUUAACGCAAGUAAGGUGAUGGGUCCUGAUUGUGGGCAUGAGAUGCUUCUUUCCUUGGGUGUAAUGUUCAUUUCGUAGUUGAGACUGCCCCCAACGAUGUGCAAUUUCGGCACUUGCCGAAUGACUGUUGCUGGGUGAGCUCAUCUGUGAUCUGAAUCACUGUGAGUCUGGAUGAAAUCGUCUUGUGUCUCUCAUCUGGUAGUACCAUGUAACUUGGGCUGCAUGAUCAACUGCCUGUGGCACAUCCCAGACGCAAUUCAUGUCGUAACGGCUUCUUUCGACCCGUCUUGAAACACGGACCAAGGAGUUUGACGCAUCUGCAAGUUCAUGACUGGACAAACUUAUGUACGCAAUGAAAAUAACAGCUGGGAGGUACGUCGCGCCAGCAACUGAUGUGCCAAUUGAGACAGGUUUGAGUAUGAGCAGAUUCGUCAGGACCCGAAAGAUGGUGAACUAUGCUUGAGAAGGGCAAACUCAGGGGAAACUCUGAUGGAGGCUCGUAGCGGUACUGACGUGCAAAUCGUUCGUCGCACUUGGGUAUAGGGGCGAAAGACUAAUCGAACCAUCUAGUAGCUGGUUCCCUCCGAAGUUUCCCUCAGGAUAGCUGGAGUUAAACAGUUUUGUCAGGUAAAGCGAAUGAUUAGAGGAAUUGGAGACAUGUUGUUUUCGACCUAUUCUCAAACUUUAAAUGGGCAAGAUCUGGUUGUUCCUAAAUUGAACUUCUGGGACAAAUAUAAUCUUUAAGUGGGCCAUUUUUGGUAAGCAGAACUGGCGAUGAGGGAUGAACCUAACGUUGGGGAAAAGUGCUUCACUGCUCGCUCAUCAGAUACCAUAAAGGGUGUUGGUUCAUUUUAACAGCAGGACGGUGGUCAUGGAAGUCGAAAUCCGCUAAGGAGUGUGUAACAACUCACCUGCCGAAUGGACUAGCCCCGAAAAUGGAUGGCGCUCAAGCGGGUGACUGAUUUCCAACCAUUGUUGCAGCUUCGAAGCAACAUUGAGUAGGAGGGCUUGGGGCUUUGUGAAGAAGACCUUGAUGAGAAUCUGAUUGAACAGU
rnacentral:rRNA from 1 species